AGAGUUUGAUCCUGGCUCAGGACGAACGUUGGCGGUGCGCUUAAUGCAUGCAAGUCGAGGGAGAAGCAUUUGUUCCGUAAGGUUCAGAUGUGGAAACCGGCGAACGGGUGCGUAACACGUGAGAAACCUGCCCCCUUGACCGGGAUAGCCCGAGGAAACUCGGAUUAAUACCGGAUACUCUCUUUGGACCGCAUGGUCCGCUGAGGAAACAGUCCGCUGCUAGGGGAUGGUCUCGCGGCCUAUCAGGUAGUUGGUGAGGUAACGGCUCACCAAGCCUAAGACGGGUAGCUGGUCUGAGAGGACGAUCAGCCACACUGGAACUGAGACACGGUCCAGACUCCUACGGGAGGCAGCAGCAGGGAAUAUUGCACAAUGGGCGAAAGCCUGAUGCAGCGACACCGCGUGCGGGAUGACGGCCUUAGGGUUGUAAACCGCUUUCAGGAGGGAAGAAAAUGACGGUACCUCCAGAAGAAGCUCCGGCCAACUACGUGCCAGCAGCCGCGGUAAUACGUAGGGAGCAAACGUUGUCCGGAUUUAUUGGGCGUAAAGGGCUCGUAGGCGGUUCAACAAGUCGAUCGUGAAAGCCCGGGGCUCAACCCCGGGAGGCCGGUCGAAACUGUUGUGACUAGAGUUCGGUAGAGGUGAGUGGAAUUCUCGGUGUAGCGGUGGAAUGCGCAGAUAUCGAGAGGAACACCAUUA
rnacentral:rRNA from 1 species